UUGGAGGGCAAGUCUGGUGCCAGCAGCCGCGGUAAUUCCAGCUCCAAUAGCGUAUAUUAAAGUUGUUGCAGUUAAAAGCUCGUAGUUGAAUUUCGGGAUUAGUACGCUGGUCGUGCCUUCGGUACGUACUGGUGUUACUGAUUUCUACCUUCUGACGAACCAUCAUGUCAUUAAUUUGGUGUGGUGGGGAAUCAGGACUGUUACUUUGAAAAAAUUAGAGUGUUUAAAGCAGGCUCGCGCUUGAAUACAUUAGCAUGGAAUAAUGAAAUAGGACGUUGAUCCUAUUUUGUUGGUUUCUAGGAUUGACGUAAUGAUUAAUAGGGAUAGUUGGGGGCAUUAGUAUUCAAUUGUCAGAGGUGAAAUUCUUGGAUUUAUUGAAGACUAACUACUGCGAAAGCAUUUGCCAAGGAUGUUUUCAUUAAUCAAGAACGAAAGUUAGGGGAUCGAAGACGAUCAGAUACCGUCGUAGUCUUAACCAUAAACUAUGCCGACUAGGGAUCGGAUGAUGUUAUUUUUAAUGACUCAUUCGGCGCCUUACGGGAAAC
rnacentral:rRNA from 1 species